AAGCGCUCUAUCGGCCAACCGACAACAACCAACAACAAGCACUUGUUACGAUCACGCCACCACGCCGCACCACAUUAAGCGAAUAUUGCGAGUGUAUAAAAGCACGUUCUGGUGCUUCAUUCAGGCAUAACGCAAUUUUUGUGCAAAUCUAAUCUUCACUUUCACUUCAUUCCACGAAAACAAAUCAAAAACCAAAAAUGGGCGCUGAAAAAGUAACCAUGAACAUCGUUGUCGUCGGACAAGUCCAAUCUGCCAAGGCCAUCAAAUCGGUCGCCAAAGCCACCCCAGCCACCAGCCAAUUGAUGAACUGUUAAUUCAUGACGUCCACAUCAAUCUCAAAUUAAAAAAUGCCAUAGCCUAAACAGUACAUAAUAUUAUUAUAAUUUGUUUAUAAUUAUAAUAUGUAUUGACAUUGCAAAAUAAAUCAGUUUCUUCCGUCAAUAAA